UAGGGAAUCUUCCACAAUGGACGCAAGUCUGAUGGAGCAACGCCGCGUGAGUGAAGAAGGUUUUCGGAUCGUAAAGCUCUGUUGUUGGUGAAGAAGGAUAGAGGCAGUAACUGGUCUUUAUUUGACGGUAAUCAACCAGAAAGUCACGGCUAACUACGUUCCAGCAGCCGCGGUAAUACGUAGGUGGCAAGCGUUGUCCGGAUUUAUUGGGCGUAAAGCGAGCGCAGGCGGAAUGAUAAGUCUGAUGUGAAAGCCCACGGCUCAACCGUGGAACUGCAUCGGAAACUGUCAUUCUUGAGUGCAGAAGAUGAGAGUGGAAUUCCAUGUGUAGCGGUGGAAUGCGUAGAUAUAUGGAAGAACACCGGUGGCGAAGGCGGCUCUCUGGUCUGCAACUGACGCUGAGGCUCGAAAGCAUGGGUAGCGAACAGG
rnacentral:rRNA from 1 species